GUUGUCUCAGAAGAGGCUGCAAAGGGAGACCACUUGCUUGGUCUGCCUGGAGUUCUUCACUGCUCUGGUCACCCUGGACUGUGGGCACAACCUCUGCCAGGGCUGCCUGGAGCAGUGUUGGGGGGCCCUAGCACCACAAAGCCCCUGCACCUGGCCACAGUGCCACCAGAGGGUCCAGCAGAAGCAUCAAAAGCCCAACUGGCAACUGAGCAACCUGUCCAAAGAGGCAACCGAGGAGGAGGAAAAGCAUGGAGCUCUUCUGCCAGGAGGACCAAACCCUACUCCGCCUGGCCUGCCUUAGGGCUCCCUGGGGCCACCCGCUCAUCCGCCUCCAGGAGGCCAAGCUACCCUUCCCAUUCCUAGUCUUCUGAUUUCUUGACUGCAAUCCCUGUUCUGAUCGAUGAUUGAUCCAAGCCAACGUAACUCUGGAUCCAAACACUGCGAAUCCCCAGCUCAUCCUGUUAGAGGACCUUAAGGGUGUCUGUGCCAGAGAGGACGUUCAAGAUAUGCCCAAUCAUCCUGACAAAUUUGACACAUUGCCAUAUCUGACAGGGUGCUGUGCUCAAGAGGAUCCGGGUGUGCCACCCUAAACAGCACUGGGAAACAGCUGACAUUUCAUGAUGCUGACACAAGAAGCCUGCCUGGUCUCCUUCGUCACACCUCCCCUUGCCACCGGACUCCUGCUGAGAGCUGUGUUGCUGCCGGGAGGCCGCCCACGGACUGAAUUACGGACUUUCGCAGAGAACAUAGAGAGUCCACAACGGCGGGACCAGGCAACAGUCCUUGGCGCUCUGCCCUGAUAGUAUAAGGGCGUGGACAGAGAGCUCUACAGGGGAGCCGGCGGGCCGGCUUUUGUAGGGGCUGCUCCCACCGCCCCCACCCCCUGGAGAAACGCCGCUGCGGCAGUGGGCAGAGUCCUCUGGGCCGCUCCUGCCCAGAUGGAAAAGGGCGGGCGGCGGCAUCCUCUUCAGGGAGCCGGCGGGCCAGCUUUGUAGGGGGGAAAAUGGGGGGAAACUCCUAUAACAAAUUCAACUCCUAUGGCAAAUAACAUUUCUACCCAAUCCUUUUCUUUAUAUGUACUCUCUAGCCUUCACUAGGGCCUUGUCUGCAUGGGCCAAAAUACCCAUUCUGGUGUCGUCCUUUUUGGACGAUGCACGCCUAAAAGCCCUGGUUCUGGUACAAGCUAUCUGUAUUGUAUCUGGCAUGUCCUAAUCCAGAACCAGGAUGAAGCAAGUUACAACUAAUUUUGAAAACAUAGGCUAGACCCUGGAUUUAGUAAAGAUAAAAUAAAAAUAGAUGUUUAUAUAGGUGAGUGACACAUUGAAAAAUAUUGUAAAAUACUGAAAAGUAGAGACUUGGAACAAGAAAUGACCAAACAUACAAUGAUUAAAUGGGCACAAGAAGUGGGAAAAGCAAGUGGACUGGAGAAAUGGGAGAAAACUUGGCAAGUUAGCAUCAUAUUUACUUUGUGCCAGAAUAUAAGGAGACUUUUUUCAAAAUAUUUCAUCAUUGGCACCUGACACCUCAAAGACUUAAUAUGAUUCAUAAAAAGGGGGAAAUAGAAUGCUAGAAAUAUUAUAAGUCAGAAGGUAACUUUUUCCACAUGUGGAAAUGUAAAGAAGCAGAAAGAUAUUGGAGAAGAAUUCAUGUCCUAAUGUCUGAAAUAUUACAAAUUUGAUGUUCUCACAGCUUUAAUGAAAGAAAAUACUAAGGAAAAGGUGAGAAAAGAUUGGUACUGUGUAAAGAUAUAUGUAGAGAAAGGUUUGUCAAAUAAUUGUCUAUGGAAUUCUUAUAGCUCUCUCUAUUAUUAUUAUUGACGAGAGAAAUAUAAAGAUGGAAUAGAAAGUCAGACAAAGUCAGUUGAAAACGGGAAGCUAAGUUAUUCUAAGAUAAAGAAGAUAAGUGUAUUGUUCAGGAAGUAUUAUUUUUCUGGUUUAUAGUGACAUAAUAGCUUUGUUAUGUGUAGUUGAAGUCAGAUAUGUUUGUAUUGUUUUCGUGUAGAUCAAUGUACUUAGCUUUAUAUUUAUUUUAAUGCUGUUUUGUAUAUUUGUAUGUAUUUAAUAAAAUUUAAA